GAUGAACGCUGGCGGCGUGCCUAAUACAUGCAAGUCGAGCGAACAGACGAGGAGCUUGCUCCUCUGACGUUAGCGGCGGACGGGUGAGUAACACGUGGAUAACCUACCUAUAAGACUGGGAUAACUUCGGGAAACCGGAGCUAAUACCGGAUAAUAUAUUGAACCGCAUGGUUCAAUAGUGAAAGACGGUUUUGCUGUCACUUAUAGAUGGAUCCGCGCCGCAUUAGCUAGUUGGUAAGGUAACGGCUUACCAAGGCAACGAUGCGUAGCCGACCUGAGAGGGUGAUCGGCCACCCUGGAACUGAGACACGGUCCAGACUCCUACGGGAGGCAGCAGUAGGGAAUCUUCCGCAAUGGGCGAAAGCCUGACGGAGCAACGCCGCGUGAGUGAUGAAGGUCUUCGGAUCGUAAAACUCUGUUAUUAGGGAAGAACAAAUGUGUAAGUAACUAUGCACGUCCUGACGGUACCUAAUCAGAAAGCCACGGCUAACUACGUG
rnacentral:rRNA from 1 species